rnacentral:sRNA from 1 species
CCCAAUGUGAACGUUACCAAACUGUUGCCUCGGCGGGAUCUCUGCCCCGGGUGCGUCGCAGCCCCGGACCAAGGCGCCCGCCGGAGGACCAACCAAAACUCUUUUUGUAUACCCCCUCGCGGGUUUUUUAUAAUCUGAGCCUUCUCGGCGCCUCUCGUAGGCGUUUCGAAAAUGAAUCAAAACUUUCAACAACGGAUCUCUUGGUUCUGGCAUCGAUGAAGAACGCAGCGAAAUGCGAUAAGUAAUGUGAAUUGCAGAAUUCAGUGAAUCAUCGAAUCUUUGAACGCACAUUGCGCCCGCCAGUAUUCUGGCGGGCAUGCCUGUCCGAGCGUCAUUUCAACCCUCGAACCCCUCCGGGGGGUCGGCGUUGGGGAUCGGCCCUGCCUCUUGGCGGCGGCCGUCUCCGAAAUACAGUGGCGGUCUCGCCGCAGCCUCUCCUGCGCAGUAGUUUGCACACUCGCAUCGGGAGCGCGGCGCGUCCACAGCCGUUAAACACCCAACUUCUGAAAUGUUGACCUCGGAUCAGGUAGGAAUACCCGCUGAACUUAAGCAUAUCAAUAAGCGGAGGAAAAGAAACCAACAGGGAUUGCCCCAGUAACGGCGAGUGAAGCGGCAACAGCUCAAAUUUGAAAUCUGGUCCCUAGGGCCCGAGUUGUAAUUUGUAGAGGAUGCUUUUGGUGAGGUGCCGCCCGAGUUCCCUGGAACGGGACGCCACAGAGGGUGAGAGCCCCGUCUGGCUGGCCGCCGAGCCUCUGUAAAGCUCCUUCGACGAGUCGAGUAGUUUGGGAAUGCUGCUCAAAAUGGGAGGUAUAUGUCUUCUAAAGCUAAAUAUUGGCCAGAGACCGAUAGCGCACAAGUAGAGUGAUCGAAAGAUGAAAAGCACCUUGAAAAGAGGGUUAAAUAGUACGUGAAAUUGUUGAAAGGGAAGCGCUUGUGACCAGACUUGGGCGCGGCGGAUCAUCCGGGGUUCUCUCCGGUGCACUUCGCCGCGUCUAGGCCAGCAUCAGUUCGUCGCGGGGGAAAAAGGCUUCGGGAACGUGGCUCCUCCGGGAGUGUUAUAGCCCGUUGCAUAAUACCCUGCGGUGGACUGAGGACGCGCA